rnacentral:lncRNA from 1 species
CAGGCUGUGCUCUAGAAAAAUUAAUUGAACUGUUACACUCAUAGUCAUUUUUAAUUUCAAGAGUUAAGUGCUCCUUUCUGACCUGAUAGGUUGCUCAGCCCAACCCGAAGGCAAGGAUUGUUAUUGACAAGUCUGUGUGCUUACAGUCUCCRGAAGAGUUGGGAGUGGCAAAACAGGUUUAGUUUUGAAAGAACAAGUCACAUCCUUUUGGCAGGACAAGGUAACUGUUCAUGUACCCCUGCAGACAGAGGAAAGCAGCUAUGCCUGUACUUCAAUGAAAAUCUUCAUGUGCUUCAAGUUGCUGGUAGGAUGCUUCCCUUGCUUCACAUCAAAGAUGUGCCCGAGUGCUUCUUUACACCUAAACUAAAACAGGUAAGCAAGCCAUGCCUGCAUUUUACAGCUUCUAACAUUUUUUCACUAGUGUGCUGAAUAAUGAUUAGGAGAUACAACUGACACACAGGGUGAAGAUGUCUUUUUCAGGUCAAAAAGACAUGCCCCUAGGCCUGUGGGACRCCGAAGAGAGCAGAGGAAACGUAUCUUCCCUGACCCGCUCAGGUAAAGCCAACGUUAGGUAGGAGAGCAGUCUGUUUUCCACUGACAGUGCUGCAGAUGGCAGAUGAGAGUGACUGCUCCAUCACUUCUGAAGCACUUCUUUUCUCCUUCUGCUUUUCAGGGUGUUCCCAGAGCUGCCAGUAGCAGUGACAGCACUGGGUGCAAGAGCAGUGAUAWCAAUAAAUCCCACUACCAGUGAUGGAAGUGAUAGCA